rnacentral:rRNA from 1 species
UCAGACGAUGCGUCAUGCAUAUCAAUAAGCGGAGGAAAAGAAACUAACAAGGAUUCCCUUAGUAACGGCGAGUGAAGCGGGAAGAGCUCAAAUUUGAAAUCUUCAAGGUUUUACCUUGACGAAUUGUAGUUUAAAGAAGUGUUUUCUGCUGAAGUUUUGGUAAAAGUUCUUUGGAAUAGGACAUCACAGAGGGUGAGAAUCCCGUCUAUGAUUGCGAUUUGUAGCUUUGUGAUACACUUUCAAAGAGUCGGGUUGUUUGGGAAUGCAGCCCAAAACGGGAGGUAAAUUUCUUCUAAGGCUAAAUAUUGGCGAGAGACCGAUAGCGAACAAGUACCGUGAGGGAAAGAUGAAAAGAACUUUGAAAAGAGAGUUAAAUAGUACGUGAAAUUGUCAAAAGGGAAGCGUUUGACACCAGUGUUGUUUUCUCGAAAAUCAAACCUCUGUUAGCUUUAUGCAUGUAUUGUUGAGACCUAAUCAGCUAUCUUGCAUGUUCUAUUGUUUGCAGUGGUGCACUUUUCAGUUUACAGGUCAACAUCAGUUUUUUUUACCGUAAAAAAGUUAAAGAAAGGUAGCUCAUGGCUCCGGUCGUGAGUGUUAUAGUCUUUUUCCUAUGCGGUAGGAGAGACUGAGGUCUGCAGUGUAGGCUAUUUGGCUAGAUACUCAGGUGCUAUGUGAUACCAUUUCAUAAACAACUUGUUGAUUAUGUUUUGUCUAUUGCAUACUCGCUUGUACUAUCAUACCUACGCUUAGGAUGUUGAAGACUCUACAGAGAUA